rnacentral:rRNA from 1 species
UACCGCAUACGAUCUACGGAUGAAAGUGGGGGAUCGCAAGACCUCAUGCUCGUGGAGCGGCCGAUAUCUGAUUAGCUAGUUGGUGGGGUAAAGGCCUACCAAGGCAUCGAUCAGUAGCUGGUCUGAGAGGACGACCAGCCACACUGGGACUGAGACACGGCCCAGACUCCUACGGGAGGCAGCAGUGGGGAAUUUUGGACAAUGGGGGCAACCCUGAUCCAGCAAUGCCGCGUGAGUGAAGAAGGCCUUCGGGUUGUAAAGCUCUUUUGUCAGGGAAGAAACGGCGGGGGCUAGUAUCUCCUGCUAAUGACGGUACCUGAAGAAUAAGCACCGGCUAACUACGUGCCAGCAGCCGCGGUAAUACGUAGGGUGCAAGCGUUAAUCGGAAUUACUGGGCGUAAAGCGUG